UACGUAGGGUGCAAGCGUUGUCCGGAAUUACUGGGCGUAAAGGGCGCGUAGGCGGAUAGUUUAGUCAGAGGUGAAAGCCCAGGGCUCAACCUUGGAAUUGCCUUUGAUACUGGCUGUCUUGAGUAUGGGAGAGGUGAGUGGAACUCCGAGUGUAGAGGUGAAAUUCGUAGAUAUUCGGAAGAACACCAGUGGCGAAGGCGACUCACUGGCCCAUUACUGACGCUGAGGCGCGAAAGCGUGGGGAGCAAACAGG
rnacentral:rRNA from 1 species